rnacentral:lncRNA from 1 species
AUGCUGUCAGUCUGCAUUCAACUGAAGAUUCGCACAAGAUUCAUGCAAAGACUUUGGAUAGCACCUUUAAUAUUGAAUGUGAGAAACUACUGUUGCUCUUGUGUUUUGUUGGCAUGCAGUCUUAUUGCAUAUAUACUAUUAUGUCAUACAAUAUAUGCACAAAGAAUAAAAAUUAACAUAUUUUUGGCUGUUUCUCAUAAAUGUUCAAUUUGCACUUCGAGUAUGAACAUUGGUUUCAAAAAUAUUUUGGAUGUAAUUUAUAUUUGAAUAAGCCAAUGUUUAAAGAUUGCUUAAGAUCUGCCAUGUUCUUCCUUCACCAUUUUUUUUCUGUAAAUGGAAUGUUUCAAUACUGGAAAAUUACAGAAAGAAUAUGGACAAAAAUUAUGAACAAGAUCUGUUCAUAAUCCAUAUGACAUAAAAGAAACACUUCCCAGAAAUCUGAAAUGUAAAAAAAUGCUUUGAAGUUUAUCCUCAAUAUCAACUGGAAAUACAAAAAUAUUUUGUGACUUACUGGAGUGAAAAGCAGACUGUAAUGUUUAAAAUGAGUUUACUGUUGACUGCACCUUGCAUCAGCACUGCAAUAGAAAGAUCUGAACAACUCACAAAUGGUGAUUUGCAACAUUAACAGAGAUUCAAAAACUCACCAAACCAAAAUUCAGCAUGUCAGUUGUACGAUUAAUGUCUGUAAAAUUCACACUUACAUGACAAUCCUAAAAGAUGUUUACUAAAGCUCUUUACAUUUCAAAGAGUGGACAAGUAAAACUCAGUGUAAAUCCCACAUGCUGAUGAUGUUUGUAAUGUCAUGCUCUGAACUGAUAAACUGACCCUGCAUUUAUGUAAUAGGGUAGAUAGGACAUUUAUAGAAGGUCCUUUCCAGCACUGCUUUCUAUGCUUUCCCUCCUUUCUAUGAAGAGGGAAAAUUGGUGCCUUGUUUUUAAUCCAGCUUCCAAGGCCAUUUAGGCACCAAAUCAUGGAAUGACCCUUGGAGAAGGAACUUGGUCUGAGAGCAUUGCUUUAUGGCAUGCAAAGGGGGAAAGAAGCUAAGAAGUGGCAGUACUGACUGACUGGAACAAACUACUUCACCUCAAAAAUCUUUGAAGAUUACACAUCACUUCAAGUUUUCACGUCAAAAUAUACUUCCUUUUUCAAA